ACACUUACCUGGCAGGGGAGAUACCGUGAUCACGAAGGUGGUUUUCUCAGCGUGAGGCUUAUCCAUUGCACUCCAGAUGUGCUGACCCCUGAGAUUUCCCCAGAUGUGGGAAACUUGACUGCAUAAUUUGUGGUAGUGGGGGAUUGUGUUCAUGCUUUCCCCUG
rnacentral:snRNA from 1 species